UACGUAGGGUGCAAGCGUUGUCCGGAAUUAUUGGGCGUAAAGAGCUCGUAGGCGGUUUGUCGCGUCUGCUGUGAAAACUCGGGGCUUAACUCCGGGCCUGCAGUGGGUACGGGCAGACUAGAGUGCGGUAGGGGAGACUGGAAUUCCUGGUGUAGCGGUGAAAUGCGCAGAUAUCAGGAGGAACACCGGUGGCGAAGGCGGUUCUCUGGGCAUUACCUGACGCUGAGGAGCGAAAAGUGUGGGGAGCGAACAGG
rnacentral:rRNA from 1 species